rnacentral:piRNA from 1 species
UACCUACAAGUAGAGUAAGUAUGAAUGGCC